rnacentral:rRNA from 1 species
UACGUAGGGUGCAAGCGUUGUCCGGAAUUAUUGGGCGUAAAGAGCUCGUAGGCGGUCUGUCACGUCGGAUGUGAAAGCCCGGGGCUUAACCCCGGGUCUGCAUUCGAUACGGGCAGACUAGAGUGUGGUAGGGGAGAUCGGAAUUCCUGGUGUAGCGGUGAAAUGCGCAGAUAUCAGGAGGAACACCGGUGGCGAAGGCGGAUCUCUGGGCCUUACCUGACGCUGAGGAGCGAAAGCGUGGGGAGCAAACAGG